AAUGAAUACGAAUUUUGUUUUCUUUUUUUUCUUUAGUCACUUUUAUUAGGGGCUGCUGUCGUUCGAGAAAGAAAAGAAGACACAAUUUUAAAGCCCCCUACUUAGGGGGCUUUUUUAUU
rfam:Providencia sneebia DSM 19967 chromosome, whole genome shotgun sequence.